rnacentral:rRNA from 1 species
AUUGAACGCUGGCGGCAGGCCUAACACAUGCCAGUCGAACGGUAACAGGAAGCAGCUUGCUGCUUUGCUGACGAGUGGCGGACGGGUGAGUAAUGUCUGGGAAACUGCCCGAUGGAGGGGGAUAACUACUGGAAACGGUAGCUAAUACCGCAUAACGUCGCAAGACCAAAGAGGGGGACCUUAGGGCCUCUUGCCAUCGGAUGUGCCCAGAUGGGAUUAGCUAGUAGGUGGGGUAACGGCUCACCUAGGCGACGAUCCCUAGCUGGUCUGAGAGGAUGACCAGCCACACUGGAACUGAGACACGGUCCAGACUCCUACGGGAGGCAGCAGUGGGGAAUAUUGCACAAUGGGCGCAAGCCUGAUGCAGCCAUGCCGCGUGUAUGAAGAAGGCCUUCGGGUUGUAAAGUACUUUCAGCGGGGAGGAAGGGAGUAAAGUUAAUACCUUUGCUCAUUGACGUUACCCGCAGAAGAAGCACCGGCUAACUCCGU